AGGAAAGUACGUCUAAACCUGACAUGUAAAUGGAGUAAAAAUCUGAUCAGUCUCAGGUCUGAGUUCUCUGCCCCUUGAGUUUCCACGACACCCAGAACUUGCUCUUCCGAAGACUGGCCUCACUGUGUCGUAAUUUCUGUUUAUAUGCCUGCUCGCCAUCCUAGGCUCUGCGCUUCGCCAAGGUGCUCGAAAUUACUUGGAAGACUUCCCCAUGAGGAGGAUUCUAGGGGAUCCUUAAAUGAUGGGGCUGGCACUGAGAGCUGCUUAUUAGAUGGAGGGUCCAAUGACUGACAUGACCACUUUGAACCUGAAAAGAACUUGAAGAUUGUUUCUGAACUACGACGGUGAGAAGCUGUGUCUGAUAGCAGCACUGGAACUAAAUCUCACAUAGAAAUGGAGCUGAAUGGAGGUGGCAGGAGACACAGAUGAAGAAACAGACAUGGAGAUAUCAGAGAUCUGAUAAAUGGGUCAGCCAAGAUGUGAGCCCAGGUUUUUCUGAUCUCUGAAACUAAACUGUACACUACUAUACUGUAGUCCUUCUUGCUGCAAAGAGAAGUCAAAGAAAAACAUCUGGGAUUUUGACAGUCACUCAUGCAGAAUAAUCCAGGACCAUGUUGUUGGUAAUUAUCCCAAACCCUUUGACGUGCGAUGAAGAGUUAUCCAAAACCUUGUGCCAACAGGAAGCACGGAAAGAUGUGACUGAAUAUGAGCCACUUCACCAACAUCCCCUCUGAUACAGGGGCUUAAUUAAUGCACUUAAUUGUUGAGAGAUAUGUAAUGAGAGUAUUCAGAGCCUUGGCUGUGCAUUUCUUUCCUAUUGUCAACUGUGUUAAUUUGCAACAAUGCUCAAGAUGCUGGCUGAGUGAAAACAGGCUAAAUGAAAACUCUAUUUUUUUCAGAGUGGGAGAAAAAGUAAUCACACUGGAUAAUUUGAUUUUGAUGCACUGCUUCCCUCCACCUCCGCCCCCCCUUAUAAAUGCACAUACUCUUUGUAAAUAGGUGAA